rnacentral:rRNA from 1 species
UGGGGAAUAUUGGACAAUGGGCGAAAGCCUGAUCCAGCCAUGCCGCGUGUGUGAAGAAGGCCUUUUGGUUGUAAAGCACUUUAAGUGGGGAGGAAAAGCUUAUGGUUAAUACCCAUAAGCCCUGACGUUACCCACAGAAUAAGCACCGGCUAACUCUGUGCCAGCAGCCGCGGUAAUACAGAGGGUGCAAGCGUUAAUCGGAAUUACUGGGCGUAAAGCGCGCGUAGGUGGUUAUUUAAGUCAGAUGUGAAAGCCCCGGGCUUAACCUGGGAACUGCAUCUGAUACUGGAUAACUAGAGUAGGUGAGAGGGGAGUAGAAUUCCAGGUGUAGCGGUGAAAUGCGUAGAGAUCUGGAGGAAUACCGAUGGCGAAGGCAGCUCCCUGGCAUCAUACUGACACUGAGGUGCGAAAGCGUGGGUAGCAAACAGGAUUAGAUACCCUGGUAGUCCACGCCGUAAACGAUGUCUACCAGUCGUUGGGUCUUUUAAAGACUUAGUGACACAGUUAACGCAAUAAGUAGACCGCCUGGGGAGUACGGCCGCAAGGUUA